AGCCUCCAUCCCAAUUUGUGCGGAGAUACUCCAAGCAAGCCGUAGACAUUCUUGCGGAACUGACUUUAUCUAUAAGUGGCAAUAUGCCUCUGCAAAGUCUUCGGGGUCAUUCUUGCUAGAGUGAGCCAGUUCCUCAUGGUAUAAGUUGGCAGCACUUCAUAAAAGUCAGUGCAUUUAAGCAAUGGAUCUUUCCAUCAUAUACAUGAAUUCUGUCUUAUGCUUAGCGUGUGACACACCCUUGACAGAAGAGAUGAUGUGAAAAGGUAGAAGUAUACAGCUGGCUUAGUACUAGAAGUUUCAUCUGGGUUGCAUGUAGGACCAAGCAUCGUCUCAGGAGGAAGACAACAUCUGAGCUGUAUCACUUUAGUUGGUCUACAAACUUACUUGAAAUUUCCCAGGUUAGCUGACAACAACUUCCAAGGAAAUGAUAAUUCCUUCCU
rnacentral:lncRNA from 1 species